AUUGAACGCUGGCGGCAGGCCUAACACAUGCAAGUCGAGCGAGCGGCGGACGGGGGAGUAAUGUGUGGGAAAAUGCCUGAUGGAGGGGGAUAACAACUGGAAACGGUAGCGAAAAACGCAGACCAUCAGAUGUGCCCAGAUGGGAUUAGCUAGUAGGUGGGGUAACGGCUCACCUAGGCGACGAUCCCUAGCGGGUCUGAGAGGAUGACCAGCCACACUGGAACUGAGACACGGCCCCGACUCCUACGGGAGGCAGCAGUGGGGAAUAUUGCGCAAUGGGGGCAAGCCUGAUGCAGCCAUGCCGCGUGUAUGAAGAAGGCCUUCGGGUUGUAAAGCACUUUCAGCGGGGAGGCGUUACCCGCAGAAGAAGCACCGGCUAACUCCGUGCCAGCAGCCGCGGUAAUUC
rnacentral:rRNA from 1 species